rfam:Gossypium hirsutum cultivar TM-1 chromosome 12, whole genome shotgun sequence
AUUUCGUGAUAAUGGCAUCUUCAUAAUAGUUUUUUAAAUUCUUCCCAUGCCUCAUACAAGGACUUAUCAUCCAUCUAUUAGAAGGUAGUGAUCUCAUUCCGCAACU